UACGUAGGGUGCGAGCGUUGUCCGGAAUUAUUGGGCGUAAAGAGCUCGUAGGCGGUUCGAUAAGUCGGAUGUGAAAUCUCCACGCUCAACGUGGAGAGGCCAUUCGAUACUGUCGUGACUCGAGUCCGGUAGGGGAGUGUGGAAGUUCCCGGAUGUAGCGGUGAAAUGCGCAGAGAUCGGGAGGAACACCCGUAGCGAAGGCGGCACUCUGGGCCGGUACUGACGCUGAGGCGCGAAAGCG
rnacentral:rRNA from 1 species